rnacentral:rRNA from 1 species
AUGUUGGUUUACCAUAUUUAUGUUGUGAGAAAUAUUUACUCCUGUUGUUUACCAUAUUUAUGUUGUGAGAAAUAUGUGCUCAUGUUGUUUUACCAUAUUUAUGUUGUGAGAAAUAUUUACUCCUGUUGUUUACCAUAUUUAUGUUGUGAGAAAUAUGUGCUCAUGUUGUUUUACCAUAUUUAUGUUGUGAGAAAUAUGUGCUCGUGUUGUUUUACCUUAUUUAUGUUGCGAGAAGUAAUUGCUCGUGUAGUCUGGUCAUAUUUAUGUGAUGCAGAAUAUUUUAACAUUUUUAUAUUGUUAUGUAGAUGGAUGCAAGAAUGGAAGAAGUGGCCAUAA